UGCGUCAGCGAAGGUCUUUGCAAAAAGAAUCGUCGUAAACAAGACCGCCUUCACCCACAACGCUUGCGCUCAAGUUACUUUUGCAGCUUGUUCUCGGACUAACCGAGUGAGAAGGCGGCCAACGGCUGGCUCCUUACCUGUGCCGAAGGUCUCCUUGUUGAGGUGCUUCCAGCCGAGAGAGACCUUGGUUUCCAUGGCAGCGGCGGCGGCGACGGCAGCGGCAGGGGACGCCUCGCAACGAAGAGCGGCGCUGGCAAAGUCUGCGGCAGCGAAUGGUGGUGGUGGUGGCGCGACCUCGGCUAACCUAAGCCGCCGACUCUAUCAAGCGGGCAUGCAGCGGCCAGGCGCCGACCUCCGCCACACACAGAGCGCAGCACGCGCUCGACACAUAUCUGCCCACUGACCGGCACACAAUUGCUCUCCUCACAAAUCACAAUCUUUCCCAAUUUACCGUCGACUCUGUCGCGAAGUUCACGCUUCAGCUCCGACAGACGCGCACAUACUCAGCUAAUAGCUCCACACCUCCUUACACUCAGCUGCCACUGUAGAUUUUUUUUUUACUUUAUUGUUAUUUUGACACCUGAACAAUCAGGUAGGCUGGCAGCAGCACAAUGCGCCGCUCUUCAGCCGAAGAGAGUACAAGGAAAUAAACAGAGAAGAGACAUCACUUAGAAAAACGGCGGGAAAAAACAGUAGACACAUGAACAUAAAAACAAAGGAAGCCGUUCACACUCGAUGACAAUCCACACUACGAACUGUUGACACGACGCAGAACACUGAAGAAGACGAUGGCACUGGUGAACAAUGGAGGGUGACGGCGAAACUAAACACUAAACAUGACGGCACACAGCCACUGUAGAGAGUCGGAGGGUACAACUACUUCCUUAAGUUCAAUUCACGAAUUGAGCGUGAGAAAGUGCUACCAGUCUUUAGUUACUUUCAUUGUCCUUGCAGGAAACUACGUGACGUAAGAAGCUGAAGAACUUUUUCUUUGGGACUUUUUAAAACUAUUAAAUGGUAUUUCAUCUACAGGUCAUCAUUACCGGUGGCAUCAUUACCGGUUUCGAUCUUAUUACCAAAUCGUUGUCAGAUGAAGAGUGGAAAUGUCAACACUGUAAGUGCCAUUUCUCCACAAAAUGCGUUUUCAAAUUUGUUGCGUUUUCCGUACUCUGUAGCACGACCCUAGACUCGUUUCAAGUUCCAAAUCAUGGAGAAGAUGUUGCGAACAUUUGUCACUAGAUGGCGCAUGGUCUUUGUGCGAAGCAGUGCUUCCCUCUGGCGUUCGAAGUAUCAACGUAUCCUCCAAUUCCAUGCACAGUUUGUGUGGUAAUCAGAGUGCAUGUAAACUGUUGUUUGUAUCAGUAAAACAUCUCUGUAAUGGAAAGACAUACUUUGGGUUUCAAAAAUAGUAAAAAAGUUAGAGAAUGAACACACAAAACAACGUGUGUCUGGGAAAUGUUAAGAAAGCCAUUUCUUCCUUAGCAGUGCAGGAAGUUCAACAGUAAACUUUACAUCUCAUCUCAAGUUGGCAGUGUGUAAGAAACAUUCAUCAAUACUGAAAGUUUUUUUUUCCCC